rnacentral:lncRNA from 1 species
AGCAGAGGGCUGCCUUCUGGCUCCCCAGCCUUGGCCAGCAGCCCUUCUAUCUUCAUGCCAUGACCUAUUUUUGUUCACCCAGUUAGUGUAUGGCCUAUUUCUUUCCUUAAGAAUUACUUCAUAACUUUCACAGAGUAAUAGCACAUGCUGAGCACAGCAUUCAUGAACUUGGACACACGCACACAAAAUGUCCCUUUAAAUUCACAGAGCAGUAUCUGAGAUCCAGGUAGAAAGACCAAAAGGAAAAUUAAGAACAGACUCUCAGACCUGCCUUCCCUUUGCAUUCAGGUUGGUUUCCUUUUUACAACUGCCCAAGUCAUGAGUUCAUAGGGCCUGGAUGGCUGUACCGGAUUGCUCUCCAGCUGGUCUCUCUGCAUCCAGAAAUUUCUACAACCUACUGGGGUAAAAUCUUUCUCAACCCUGCUUUUCAUCAUCACAUCUUAAAUAUCUCGAGUUGGUUCCCUAUUGCCAAAAAAAAUCCAUUGUCCAUGUAGGGUUCUUCUGCCGAAACGAGGAAAGAAGCACUGCGUGUUUUGAAAUAUACAAAUAGUGGGAAACGAAAUCUUUGUUCUGGAUGCAGUUAUAAUUUGGAAAGCGAGGAAAUAAAUUAUAACAAGGGGAAAAAACAGACACAGAGGGAUUGAAAUGCAUAACAAUAGAGAUGAAACACGAAGAGUGAUAAAUGAAGAUUGAGUGUGCACACCUUCUGGAGGAGCCCUGAUUGAGUAUUUUAACACAGAAGUGGGUGAGAGCAAAGUUGUGUCAGAGUAAGACAAUGACACCAAGCCAGAUGGUUAUCAAAAUCCACAGGAACAAAUGAAGAGAACCAGAAAUUGCAAAUAAGAAGGACAGAGUACCAGAGAGGAGAGAGAGGUACAGAGAAUUAUGGAGGUGGCUUCCGUUGAGUAUGCAGCUAAGUAAUGAUUAAUGCAUACAUAUAAGAAACUACUGGAUGACAGAGAAAGAACCACAAGCAAUUUAAAGAAUACUACUAAAGUCAUGCCGUGUGACUUCUGAAGCUAGCUCCUAAGAAGUCCUUGCAGCUUCUGCCUGCGACUCUUAGAACACUUGCUUUGAAGGAUGCCAGAUGCUGUCUUAAAAGUCUGAGCACUCUGAAACCAUCAUGCUGUGAGGAAGCCCAAGCUAACCACAUGGGCAAAAAAGAUGCCCUCUGACUGCCACCAUUUGAGACACUCUAAUUAAGAACUGCCUCAUUGAGCCCAUGAGGCCCUGUGAAUGAUAAUAAUAAAUUGUUUUUAACCA